AUAAUUACCUGAGAGAGGAAAUACCAUGCCCGGGAAGGUGAUUUUCCAAGGGUGAGGCUUAUCUAUGCACUCUAGAUGUGCAAUGUCAUUUCUCCAAAUAUGGAAAAGUCAACUGUAUUAUAUGCAAUAGUGGGAGACUGUUGGUACUUUCCCCUG